rnacentral:rRNA from 1 species
CUAAUAGAAUUUUUAUUAGUAAUGCCUGCUCUAUGUAAAAUAAAUGGCCGCAGAUCCCUGUGCUAAGGUAGCAAAAUAAUUUGCCUUUUAAUUAUAGGCUAGCAUGAAAGGUGUAACAUAUUGAUUCCUUUAUUAAAUAAAUUAUUUUAACUUAACCUUUUAGUAAAAAGGCUAAAAUUUACUAAAAGGACGACAAGACCCUGACAAACUUUACUUUAUAGUUUUACUGGGGGGGUAAAAAAAUUUUAUCUUUUUUAUUAUAAAUAACAGAAAAAUUCUAUUUUUUUUCAAGUUACUGCAGGGAUAACAGCAUAAUUUUUUCCUAAAGUUCUUAUAUAAGAAAAAGUUUAUGACCUCGAUGUUGAAUUAGUUAACUAAAAAGGGCAAAACCUUUUCAAGUAAGUCUGUUCGACUUUUAAUUUUCUACAUGAUUUGAGUUCAGACCGGCGUAAGCCAGGUCGGUUUCUAUCCUUUUUCACAAAUUUUUAGUACGAAAGGACCAAAAUUUAUUUUUUUUCCUAU